ACAAUGGGGGAAACCCUGAUGCAGCGACGCCGCGUGGAGGAAGAAGGUCUUCGGAUUGUAAACUCCUGUUGUUGAGGAAGAUAAUGACGGUACUCAACAAGGAAGUGACGGCUAACUACGUGCCAGCAGCCGCGGUAAAACGUAGGUCACAAGCGUUGUCCGGAAUUACUGGGUGUAAAGGGAGCGCAGGCGGGAGAACAAGUUGGAAGUGAAAUCCAUGGGCUCAACCCAUGAACUGCUUUCAAAACUGUUUUUCUUGAGUAGUGCAGAGGUAGGCGGAAUUCCCGGUGUAGCGGUGGAAUGCGUAGAUAUCGGGAGGAACACCAGUGGCGAAGGCGGCCUACUGGGCUUUAACUGACGCUGAGGCACGAAAGCAUGGGUAGCAAACAGGAUUAGAUACCCUGGUAGUCCAUGCCGUAAACGAUGAUUACUAGGUGUUGGAGGAUUGACCCCUUCAGUGCCGCAGUUAACACAAUAAGUAAUCCACCUGGGGAGUACGACCGCAAGGUUGAAACUCAAAGGAAUUGACGGGGGCCCGCACAAGCAGUGGAGUAUGUGGUUUAAUUCGAAGCAACGCGAAGAACCUUACCAGGUCUUGACAUCCCGAUGAAAAACCCGUAACGGGGUUCCCUCUUCGGAGCAUCGGAGACAGGUGGUGCAUGGUUGUCGUCAGCUCGUGUCGUGAGAUGUUGGGUUAAGUCCCGCAACGAGCGCAACCC
rnacentral:rRNA from 1 species